rnacentral:rRNA from 1 species
UACGAAGGGGGCUAGCGUUGCUCGGAAUCACUGGGCGUAAAGCGCACGUAGGCGGCUAUCAUUAGCAGGGGUGAAAUCCUGGAGCUCAACUCCAGAACUGCCUUUGAUACUGAGGAGCUUGAGUCCGGGAGGAGGUGAGUGGAACUGCGAGUGUAGAGGUGAAAUUCGUAGAUAUUCGCAAGAACACCAGUGGCGAAGGCGGCCUCACUGGACUGGUACUGACGCUGAUGCGCGAAAGCGUGGGGAGCAAACAGG